CUGAGCUGCUGGUGGCGUGUCAGCCAGUUCUCAGGACCCGGCUAGGGCCUCAGUGGCCUCCGGGAGCACUUGUAACCAGCCUCAUGGGCAGUGGCCAGUGAGGGUGGGGCCGACUCUGGCUGCAGGGCCAGAGAGAGGAGCUCAGUCUGGGGAAAGCGCAGUGCCCGGGCCCCUGGGCCUGCCGUUGGCCUCAGGGACCGUGUCUCAGUCUGCUUGGGCAGCUGUGACAAAAUCCCACAGACCCAGCGACUGAAACAACUGUUGAUGCAAGUAAUUCAUAAUCGGUCUAUAAAUCAAAAUUGGGGUGAGUUUAUUACGAGCCAGGUCUGGGGACUAGCCCGGGGCCUUCCUUCCCUAAGGCAGGAAGGGCACCAAAGAAGUGGGGUGUGCAGAGUGGUUCUGUACCCUCAGAGAGCGUACAUCACGUAUGACAGGAAUGUCUGUGUUACAACGGUCAUGGGAUGCUUUGCUGGUACAGCAGGUCAGCGGUCAGCAGGUCAGUGGCCACAAGGUGGGCACAGCAGGUUGGUAAUUAAUCCUUAGUUUUUAGGGAGAGAUGCGCAUCCUAAGGGAAUUCUGAUGGGGGGGAGGUCCAUCCGUGUCUUUCAGGGCCUCGUUCUUGCCUUUGAGGCAUUCUCAGUGUUUGCGGAUGUACAAUGCAUGCUCCACAGGCCACAUCACGUCAGGCCCUUUUGGAAAAACAAGGUCAGCCCGAAUUAGUUUUGCUCCUCUUCUUAGAAGGACACCAGUCUGUGGCAUCAGGGCCCACCCGGACGGCCUCAGUGAACCGUUAUCACCCCCAUAGGCCCCAUCUCCAGGUGCAGUCAUGUUGGAGGUUAGGCCCUCCACAGGUGAACGUAGGGGGACAUGACUCAGCCCAGGACGGACGGGCUGGCCUGGGGGGGGGUGCGCGCCUGAGGAGAGGGGAGGGCCCAAGCUGGCCGGAAGCGGAGUGUCCACUGGCACUGGGACGUGUGCCCCGCUAGAGACCCUGAGAGCAAAUACGCCGGCCGCAGGAGGAUGACUUCUCUGCUCCAAGUGAACCCUGAAAACGCCUUCUGUGACUUUCGGACUCCAUCCAAGGGUGGGGGCCAGUUGCCAGCAGAACCAGCCAUGUGAUCAGAGGAUCGGAACUUUCAGUCCUACUCCCUGAUUUCCAGAGAAGGAGGGGGACUCGAGGCUGAGUCAACUGCCAAUGUCCAACGACUUCGUCAAUCUGGAAGCCUCCAUAAAAACCUCCGUUGGUCCUUCUUUUCAGAGGAACCAGAAAGCUUCCAGGUGCCACCAUGCCAGGCCCCAGGCUCCACGAGGCAGACGCUCCUUUGUUCUGGACCUUGCCCUAUGUGUCUCUCCAUCCGGCUGUUGAUCCCUAUCCUUUAAUAUCCUUUGUAAUAAAUAGGUAAUCUAGUGAGUAGACGGGUUUUCUUGAGUUUUGUGAGCCAAUCAACACAACCCGAGGAGGGGGUCCUGGGAACUUCUGAUUUAC
rnacentral:lncRNA from 1 species